rnacentral:rRNA from 1 species
UACGAAGGGGGCUAGCGUUGCUCGGAAUCACUGGGCGUAAAGCGCACGUAGGCGGAUCUUUAAGUCAGGGGUGAAAUCCCGGAGCUCAACUCCGGAACUGCCUUUGAUACUGGAGAUCUUGAGUCCGGGAGAGGUGAGUGGAACUGCGAGUGUAGAGGUGAAAUGCGUAGAUAUUGGGAGGAACACCAGUGGCGAAGGCGACUAUCUGGACAGAUACUGACACUGAGACACGAAAGCGUGGGGAGCAAACAGG